UACGAGGGGUGCAAGCGUUGCUCGGAAUUAUUGGGCGUAAAGGGUAGGUAGGUGGUCUCAUUUGUCCGGGGUGAAAGCCUUGAGCUUAACUCAAGAAGUGCCUCGGAAACGGUGAGACUAGAGUCUUGGAGAGGGUCGUGGAAUUCCCGGUGUAGCGGUGAAAUGCGUAGAGAUCGGGAGGAACACCAGAGGCGAAGGCGGCGACCUG
rnacentral:rRNA from 1 species